rnacentral:rRNA from 1 species
UACGUAGGGUCCGAGCGUUGUCCGGAGUUACUGGGCGUAAAGGGCGCGCAGGCGGCGGUGCUGGCCCCGGCGUGAAAAGCCCCCCGGCUCAACCGGGGAGGGUCGUCGGGGACCGCACCGCUUGAGGGCGGUAGGGGCCGGUGGAAUGCCUGGGUGUAGUGGUGAAAUGCGUAGAGAUCAGGCAGAACACCUGGGGCGAAGGCGGCCGGCUGGGCCGUCCCUGACGCUGAGGCGCGAAGGCGUGGGGAGCGAACGGG